rnacentral:rRNA from 1 species
GACGGAAGGUGCAAGCGUUGUUCGGAAUCACUGGGCGUAAAGGGCGUGUAGGCGGUCAGGUAAGUGGGAUGUGAAAUGCCCCGGCUCACCCGGGGACCGGCAUCUCAUACUGCUUGGCUUGAGUACGGGAGAGGAUGUGGGAAUUCCUGGUGUAGCGGUGAAAUGCGUAGAUAUCAGGAGGAACACCGGUGGCGAAGGCGCACAUCUGGCCCGAUACUGACGCUGAGGCGCGAAAGCUAGGGGAGCAAACAGG